UACGAACUGUGCGAACGUUAUUCGGAAUCACUGGGCUUAAAGGGUGCGUAGGCGGUUUUCUAAGUCAGGUGUGAAAUCUCUCGGCUCAACCGGGAAACUGCGCCUGAUACUGGAGGACUGGAGUGAGGCAGGGGUGUGUGGAACUUCCGGUGGAGCGGUGAAAUGUGUAGAUAUCGGAAGGAACGCCAGCAGCGAAAGCGGCACACUGGGCCUUUUCUGACGCUGAGGCACGAAAGCCAGGGGAGCGAACGGG
rnacentral:rRNA from 1 species